AGUGAACGCUGGCGGUAUGCCUAACACAUGCAAGUCGAACGGCAGCACAGUUUGAGCUUGCUCUUACGGGCGGCGAGUGGCGGACGGCUGAGGAAUACAUCGGAAUCUACUUUUUCGUGGGGGGAAACGUAUGGUAACUUACCCUAAUACCUCAUACUGCCUACGGGUGAAAGCAGGGGAUCUUCGGACCUUGCGCGACUAAAUGAGCCGAUGUCGGAUUAGCUAGUUGGCGGGGUAAAGGCCCACCAAGGCGACGAUCCGUAGCUGGUCUGAGAGGAGGAUCAGCCACACUGGAACUGAGACACGGCCCAGACUCCUACGGGAGGCAGCAGUGGGGAAUAUUGGACAAUGGGCGAAAGCCUGAUCCAGCCAUGCCGCGUGGGUGAAGAAGGCCUUCGGGUUGUAAAGCGCUUUUGUUGGGAAAGAAAAGAAGCAGGCUAAUACAGCGCUUUUCUGACGGUACCCAAAGAAUAAGCACCGGCUAACUACGUG
rnacentral:rRNA from 1 species